rnacentral:rRNA from 1 species
ACGGCUCAGUAACACGUGGAUAACCUGCCCUAUGCUCUGGGAUAACCUCGGGAAACUGAGAAUAAUACCGGAUAGAUCACAACGCCUGGAACGGUGUGUGGUUGAAAGGUUACGGCAUAGGAUGGGUCUGCGGCGUAUCAGGUUGUAGGGGGUGUAAUGGACCCCCUAGCCAUCGACGCGUACGGGUGUUGGGAGACAUAGCACGGAGACGGAUUCUGAGACACGAAUCCGGACCCUACGGGGUGCAGCAGGCGCGAAAACUUCACACUGCAGGAAACUGUGAUGAGGGAACUCCAAGUGGAUGCACAUAGUGUAUCUCUUUUCUUUACUAUUAAUCGGUAUUGGAAUAAGGGCUGGGAGAGACCGGUGCCAGCCGCCGCGGUAAUACCGGCAGCUCGAGUGGUCGUCGCUUUUAUUGGGCCUAAAACGUCCGUAGCCGGUUUGGUAAAUCUGUGGGUAAAUCAACUAGCUUAACUAGUUGAAUUCUGCAGAGACUGCCAGACUAGGAACCGGGAGAGGUGUGGGGUACUCGAGGGGUAGGGGUAAAAUCCUGUCAUCCUUUGAGGACCACCAGUUGCGAAGGCGCCACACUAGAACGGAUUCGACGGUCAGGGACGAAGCCUAGGGGCACGAACCGGAUUAGAUACCCGGGUAGUCCUAGGUGUAAACGCUGUGAACUUGGUGUCGGGAGUCCGCAAUGGGCCCCCGGUGCCGGAGUGAAGAUGUUAAGUUCACUGCCUGGGGAGUACGGUCGCAAGGCUGAAACUUAAAGGAAUUGGCGGGGGAGCAC